rnacentral:misc_RNA from 1 species
AUAUAUCAACCUCAUAAGCUUUUUUGCGUGUUGAGUGUUUGGAUAUUGGGGGUAUUAUUUGCUGGCCUGGUCAGCUCCCCUGAAAUGCAUUAGCGGAACAAUUUGUUGAUCGUUCAUUGGUGUGAUAAAACUAUCUACGCUAUUGACGUGAAGCAGGGGUUCAGCUUCUAACUGUCCAUUGACUUGGACAAACUUUCAUUA